CCUACGGGUGGCUGCAGUCGAGAAUUUUUCACAAUGGGCGAAAGCCUGAUGGAGCGACGCCGCGUGGGGGAUGAAUGGCUUCGGCCCGUAAACCCCUGUCAUUUGCGACCAAUGUAGGCAGUUUAACUGAUUGCCUAUUGCUUGUAGCGGAAGAGGAAGGGACGGCUAACUCUGUGCCAGCAGCCGCGGUAAUACAGAGGUCCCAAGCGUUGUUCGGAUUUACUGGGCGUAAAGCGUGCGUAGGCUGUGGUGCAAGUUAAAGGUGAAAUAUUAAA
rnacentral:rRNA from 1 species